UGCCGGAAUCACGACUUGAGGCUCUCUCCCCUUCCUUCGCCCGUAUUUCCCGGCUGUGAAUGCAUGUGCCUGCGUGCUGUCGUGUCUCGUAUUACUUGCGCCGGUGGUAAUAAGGAAAAAUAGCAGCUGUCUUGUGGUAUGCCAUUCGGUCGUAGGUGAAGCAAGCAUGGACAUCAACUUUUCUGGUGACGAGGUGAAGAAAUUUUUAGGCUCAGGCGGCUCGUGGACUGCCGACCUGACCCAUGUGCCGCGCGUGUGUGAGCGUGUCAUUGAAGCCCAUUUCGGUGCGUCUACUAGCCGCGGGCUGCAAAAGGGUUGGAAGUUUAAAGAAGAGAAGUAUAUUCACCGGUUGGAAUGCUGUAUCAGUCGCCAUACUUCUGGAUGUGAGCUUCAUAUCCUAAGGAGCAUUUGCCUCUGCUCAAUGAAACCUGGGCACUACAGACAAGUCGUUGCCCUCCGUGAGGAAAAUGUGACAUGUGUUGUUCGAGCUUACUGCGACUGCGUUGCUGGGCUCAGUCAAAGCUGCCAACACAUUGCUGCUCUUCUUUUUGCUGUUAGGAGCAUUCAGACGCCAUCCUGCACCGGCAUGCCUUGCAAGUGGAUGGCUCCAACACAAGGUAAACAGUUUCUUGUGAAACGAAAAUGCACCUUAUUUUAACAACCUCGCGAUGUCUGCAGGGCAGACCAUUACCGAGGCAUGCCAAGACAAAACAUUUUGUUCGCAAGUGGUUGAUGGUGUUGUUACUUUAAAAAGAGACCAUCCUUAUUUUUUUCAAAUCCAGGGACAACUAGCGGUCACCGGAAAGACAUGGUGUGAUCUUGUUUUGUGGACGAACAGAACUGAGCUGCUGCUUAGUACCUCUGUUGAAAGGAUUUAUUUUCACAAAGAUGUGUGGCAUGAAAUGCUGCAAGCACUGAUAUAUUUUUACAAAGCUGCCAUCAUUCCUGAGCUCCUAACACGCCGCAUGAGGCGGUUGGGUUUCCUGUAUACCACAGGGGCCGGAUAUGUGCCUUUCAAAAAGUACGCUCAAGGCUUUUACAUUGCUGAGACAUCGGAUGACCCAAUGAAGCUAUCAUUAAGGAAACUGAAGUAGUGCAUAUUGCAAAUAGCAAGAAACAAGUGUCUCUAAACUGCAGUAGCAUUUGGUGGCUCCACAUGUUUUGUUCUUGGGUGAAUGCUAAGGCUCAAUACUUGUAAGGGUUUUAGCAUUUCAACCACCCGAUAGUUGAGAAGAAAAUGUGUGCUUUGAACAGUGAAAACUGCUUGCUUUCAUGCUGAAAAUUUCGUAUUUAACUAGCACUGCAGUCAACACUAAAUAUAGAAAUUUGAAGCUCUCUAUUUUUCUGUAAAAGUGCAAUUCAGUUUCGCAUGCAAUAACAUAGGUGCAAUUAUAUGUAUGAAUUACAGUGUAAAGUGCAUGUCUUUUCCUUGGGUGCAUUUGUAAGGAUUAAAUGUGUCCAUUCAAACCUAGCAGAAUUGCAUGUUUGGGCAAGAACGACAUGGCAUGACAAAGAGAUGAUUGAAAGUAAUGAAGGAGAAUAAAAGGUGUUUUCAAAUUUAUUAACGAUUAUCCAAACUCAUUCAUUCGAUUGCAUGUCAAGCU